rfam:Sus scrofa isolate TJ Tabasco breed Duroc chromosome 14, whole genome shotgun sequence.
UCCCUGGUGGUCUAGUGGUUAGGACUUGGCACUUUCACUGCUGUAGCCCAGGUUCAGUCCCCGGUCUGGGAA